rnacentral:rRNA from 1 species
UUAAAUUGAAGAGUUUGAUCAUGGCUCAGAUUGAACGCUGGCGGCAGGCCUAACACAUGCAAGUCGAACGGUAACAGGAAGCAGCUUGCUGCUUUGCUGACGAGUGGCGGACGGGUGAGUAAUGUCUGGGAAACUGCCUGAUGGAGGGGGAUAACUACUGGAAACGGUGGCUAAUACCGCAUAACGUCGCAAGACC